GAUGAACGCUAGCGGCGCGCUUAUGCAUGCAAGUCGAGCGAUGAGGCCCUUUCGGGGGUACAUCAGCGGCAGACGGGCGAGUAACACGUGGGUGACCUACCCUAAAGACGGGGAUAACCCUCGGAAACGGGGGCUAAUACCGGAUAGCUACAGCGUACGGGGGUAUGUUGUAGAAAGCUACGGCGCUUUAGGAGGGGCCUGCGGCCCAUCAGCUAGUUGGUGGGGUAAUGGCCCACCAAUGCGAAGACGGGUAGGGGGCGUGAGAGCGCGGUCCCCCACACUGGCACUGAGAUACGGGCCAGACUUCUACGGAAGGCAGCAGUCGGGGAUAUUGCACAAUCGGCGAAAGCCGGAUGCAGCGACGCCGCGUGGGCGAUGAAGGCCUUCGGGUUGUAAAGCCCUUUUAUGGGGGAAGAGACAAGGACGGUACCCCAAGAAUAAGCGUCGGCUAACUACGUGCCAGCAACCGCGGUAAAACGUAGGACGCAAGCGUUAUCCGGAUUUACUGGGCGUAAAGAGCGUUGAGGCGGUUCCGUAAGUUGGGCGUGAAAGCCCCGGGCUUAACCCGGGGAGGUCGUUCAAUACUGCGGGACUUGAGGGCAGCAGAGGGAGGCGGAAUUCCCGGUGUAGCGGUGAAAUGCGUAGAUGUCGGGAGGAACACCAGUGGCGAAGGCGGACUCCUGGGCUGUUUCUGACGCUGAAGGCGAAAGCUAGGGGAGCGAACGGGAUUAGAAACCCCGGUAGUCCUAGCCGUAAACGAUGGAUGCUGGGUGUGCGGGGUAUAGAUCCCUACGAGGCCGAAGACUAACGCGUUAAGCAUCCCGCCUGGGGAUUACGGCCGCAAGGCUUAAACUCAAUCGAAUGUUCUGGGUCCCGCACAAGCAUCUGAGCUUUUGGUUUAAUUCGAUGCUACACGAAGAACCUUACCUGGGCUUGACAUGUAGGUAGUAGUGAAGCGAAAGCGGAACGACCCUUCGGGGAGCCUACACAGGUGAUGCAUGGCUGUCGUCAGUUCGUGCCGUGAGGUGUCGGGUUAAGUCCCGUAACGAACGCAACCCUUGCCCUUAAGUUACAUGUGUCUAAGGGGACUGCCCGGGACAACUGGGAGGAAGGUGGGGAUGACGUCAAGUCAGCAUGGCCUUUAUGUCCAGGGCUACACACACGCUACAAUGGCCGGUACAAUGGGUCGCCAAGCCGUGAGGCGGAGCCAAUCCCCCAAAGCCGGUCUAAGUUCGGAUUGUGGGCUGCAACUCGCCCAUAUGAAGCUGGAGUUGCUAGUAACUGCGCGUCAGCAAUAGUGCGGUGAAUACGUUCCCGGGCCUUGUACACACCGCCCGUCACGUCAUGGAAGCUGGCAACACCUGAAGCCAGUGAGC
rnacentral:rRNA from 1 species